AGCGGGGUGGAGCAGUCUGGUCAGCUCGUGAGGCCCAUAACCUCAAGGUCGCGUGGUUCAAAUCCCGCCCCCGCUA
rnacentral:tRNA from 1 species